rnacentral:lncRNA from 1 species
UCUUCUAAUGCUUCAGAUAUUUUUCGUAUGGAAUUUUGUUAAAACAGAUAUUCCCAAAUAGGAUGAACCCGUUGCUGGCAAUGGGCAUAAAUGGUCAGCACCACAGAGUUCCUAUUCUUAGCACGUAAUUGAACUCUACAAUUGUACCAUGGUGGCCAUAUAUAACCCUUGUAAUCAAGGUAACUAAACAGGGAUUUGCUCACUAACACUGUAACCUGCUUAAUGUAUAGAAGCACUUUGUAUUUAAAAAGAAAAAAGUGAAAAAAAAAAAAAGGAAAAAACAUAAAACUUUAUAAGUAUGUUUUUUAAACUUAGAAAAUAUAUUCCCUUUAUGGUUUGUUUCCACACUGCUAAUAUUGUCUUUUUUAAUACUGAAAAAAAAUAACUAUAAUGCUUGCCUGUUUACAUGAGUGUAGAAGAAAGAGGGUUCUUGCACUCAGUGGCCCUAUUUUUCCAUUCUGCAAGGCCUUACUACAUACAGGGUGUCAUUUCUGCAAGUCCCAUCAUCACACCUGAGGGAAGGUAUUCUCAUACUCAUUUCAAGAAUGAUUCUGUGUAUUACAUUAGUUCUCAACCCCUUUCGAAUUGUCACUUCAGCGUUGCAUACAAAGGUUAAGGCUGCCUCUUCCCAUUGAACCAUCAGAAAGGCUGGUCAGAGACACCAGGCUGAAAAACACGGUCAAGCAAAAAACCUCUUUCUGUUAAACCCAGACUAUCCUACAGAGCUGCCAGCAGAACUGUUUCUUUUACCAGCUUGGAAUGACUUUUAUACGGGACAUUUCAAAGUUAAACAUUACUCCUAUUUGCAGUUAGACUACUUUGAAAUAAAGCUUUAAAAUAAAAUGUACUGCGAGAGACACUUUAAAGGUUUUAUAACAGGUCCAGUAGAUCAUAUUAUAGAACCAUGUCCUCUUUUAAUGACUUAGCAUGAAUAGUAACUUUAUAAUAUUUCUUAUUACUGUUUUACCCCAUUUUACGACAUUGUCCUGGAAGUCCAACAAAUGUUGCUCCACUGAUUUUGUAGCACUUGGCUUUUUGAUGUUAAUUUACAUGAAACCAAGUGAUUGCAGGAAAAUAUUGAUACGAUUGUCAUGAGGUUGAGAGGAUUGAUGAUGUAAGGGAAGCUUGAGAUACAUGUCUAAAAUCCUUAUUUUUGCUUAUCACAGGCAAAACAAUUGACUUGUGUUGGUUUUCCUGAAUUUAAUUUAUUGCCCUUUGACAAACCUCUAAUCACUGAUUCAGGUAUUGGGGGGGAAAAAGAUAACAAGAAAUUACUUUAACGCUUAAGGAAACCUCUGUCCUUCCCCUUCCUCAGUCUCAGCUUAAGGCUAACACCUCUCCUCCCUGCCUUUGUGGUCUCCUACUCCCUUGCUUUCACUGAGAGCUGCGUUCAGCCCGUGCCAGCUCUCGUAGCGAGGUGACAGAUCCCUCAGGAGGUUGGGCUCAUUGGCACACUGGCUUGUCUGCCGCUCUUCAUUUCUCAGUGGGUGUCCUCUGCUGCUCUGGGCUGGUUGGUGUCACUGCUCAUAGUGGCACCACACAGUCCCUUCAGGGAUGUGUCUGUUCCAGCUUGGCUCUCCUGUGGGCCUCAGGCACUUCGGAGGUGUACCUGCUCUGGCAUGGCUUAGCUACAGGCCAAAGUCCCCUCAGAAGUGAAUCUCCCAGGCAUGGAUGUGUCCUUCUGUGAGUGUGUGUCUAUACAUGUCCUCAGUGUCUUCUCCACUUGUUUUCCCAAGGGCAGCUCUUCAGUUUAUCCACGUUUCCAGCUGUGUUUCCUUAGGAGUAUCUUCUCCUUAUGUGUCUCCUUGCACCUCUUGCUAGCAGCCGCCACUCUUCCUUAAACAUGUUUGAGCAGAGGCACCGUGCGCACCUCUGGCUGAGGUUCUGGCAUGCACUGGAUUGUUUGCAUGCACUUCAGUGCAGGCUAGAACCUGUUGUGACCAGCACGGGGCAGUUUGUAACCUCCUGCUGUAUGUCAAGGAGUGUCCGGACGACGCUCUUAGUCAUAUGGUUUAGUUUUAGGUAGUCCUAUGAGGAGCAGGGAGUUGGACUCUGAUCUUUAUGGGUCCCUUCCAAGUGGAGAUACUCUGUCAGCCUUGCAGCCCCCUGCUACUGAAACCCUGCAGUUUAUGGCCGAUACAGUUGUACAGAGUAAACCAAGAUCUGCAGAUGCAGCUUCUGUCAAGCUCUUGAUCUUUGCCAUAGAGUGGUCUUGUUCAACAUACAAGAAAUUGUUUCUUGUUUGUGGGGAGGAAGGAAGCAAUCCCUAUAAAUAUAUAAUAGGAAUGCAUAUGUAUAUGGUGAAUUUCAUUAAUCUUCCCUUAAGCUUCAUCAUCUUUAAUGAUAUGGCUUAGAAACAUCUGUGCAUUUUUAUAUUGCUCGCUGUUGCCUGCAGUAAGGUGAAUGUCUUCUGAGAAACAGUCAUUGUACACACAGGAGGCUUUCAGAACUCCCUGCUACCGUGAAGCCAUUCAUUGUCCUAUCAGUGGUAAGAAAAUGAUAAGCUAAGUUCCUUUGCAUUCCAAUUUGUAACUAAGGUGUUAAUUGCCAUGGAAUCUGUGUAACUGAUCAUGCAAAACUGUGUAAGAUUAUGAAACAUUCAACUGUUAGCAGCGUUAAGAUCUCUGCUUAGGUGUAUAUCUGACUUUUUUAAAGGAGGAGGUUCCUAUUUCACACACCACUGUUGGGGUUUUUGUUGUUGUUUUGGGUUUUAAACAUGACUUUGUUUUAUGGGUGAGCAGGUAGACUCUAGAGGGUACUGUCAGGACAAGUUUUGGUCUUCGCUUUUGUUCAUCUGAAGUGUUCCUGGGGUUGAGAAACGUUGUCCUGUACCAGAAGCAAGGCAGAUGAUCAAAGGCUGAUGGGUUUCUUGUUACAAAAAGAAUACUUGAUGUCCCUGUGUUAUUGAGCCUGAAAGAAUGGAGGCACCUCAGGUCUUGUAAUCUCAUGGCGUUGGUGCCAGGAAGAUGACCUGUCUCUGGGUUACGAGAGCCUACAGCACUGAGUAUUUUGCUUUAAUGGAAUCAGAACAUUUCUCAAAAUAACAUAGGAAAGUUGGGGGGUUUUUUGUCAUUUAAAUGCUUCAUUGGCUCGCUAGGCUUCUUUAGCUGUAAGCUGUAAACUGUCGGUGCCCACAGGGGAGAUGCUGGAAAACAAAACGAUGGUAUAUUUUUAAUGUGAUUAAAUUGUAAGUUCCGAUUUUUGCUUGAAGCCUGUGUCUGUCGAUUGCUGCUCCUUUGUUUUAUUAUUCAUGGGAUUCCAUAUUUCUUCCAGAAAUGUAACUGUUUAUGCAAGUCAAGUGAAUCUUUCUUAAUGAGCUCUAAGUUUUUAUUCUAAACAAGUCAUUUAUAAUAGUAAAUUUGCAUAUCUUGAUAUUUUGUGAGAUGUUAUGCCUGUAUUGCAGAGGUUGGAUAGUUUUGUCUAUAAAUAUUGCUGUCCUAAUUGUACAGCAUGGUUUUAAUUUAAUGUUACUGUUCAAUAUUUUCUUCUUAUAGAAGAGUCCCAUGCCCCUUUUUUGUAUAACAUGUUUUAAUAAAUGUUAUCUGUCAACUUUGUAAAUGUUUUCUUAAGCUUGAAUGAAAGGAAUGCAUGUCUAGUACUAGUAUUUAAUAUUUCACUUUUGCCAAAACGAUAAGUGCUCAAACAAAAGUACAAAUCCAAAAGUUGUUGAUAUAUAACUUUAUUAAAUAUAUAAAGAAAAAA